rnacentral:rRNA from 1 species
UUGGAGGGCAAGUCUGGUGCCAGCAGCCGCGGUAAUUCCAGCUCCAAUAGCGUAUAUUAAAGUUGCUGCAGUUAAAAAGCUCGUAGUUGAAUUUCGGGACCAUCAUGUCGGUCGUGCCUCGGUACGUACUGGCAUUGUUGGUUUCUCCCUUCUGACGAACCAUGAUGUCGUUUAUUUGGUGUUGUGGGGAAUCAGGACUGUUACUUUGAAAAAAUUAGAGUGUUUAAAGCAGGCUCACGCUUGAAUGCAUUAGCAUGGAAUAAUGAAAUAGGACGGUUGAUUCUAUUUUGUUGGUUUCUAGGAUCGACGUAAUGAUUAAUAGGGAUAGUUGGGGGCAUUAGUAUUCAAUUGUCAGAGGUGAAAUUCUUGGAUUUAUUGAAGACUAACUACUGCGAAAGCAUUUGCCAAGGAUGUUUUCAUUAAUCAAGAACGAAAGUUAGGGGAUCGAAGACGAUCAGAUACCGUCGUAGUCUUAACCAUAAACUAUGCCGACUAGGGAUCGGAUGAUGUUAAUUUUUUAAUGACUCAUUCGGCGCCUUACGGGAAAC